GCGGAUGUGGUGAAAUUGGUAGACACGCCAGACUUAGGAUCUGGUGCCGAGAGGCAUGGGAGUUCGAGUCUCUUCAUCCGCACCA
rnacentral:tRNA from 1 species